CCUACGGGAGGCAGCAGUGAGGAAUAUUGGUCAAUGGGAGAGAUCCUGAACCAGCCAAGCCGCGUGAGGGAAGACGGCCCUAUGGGUUGUAAACCUCUUUUAUCGGAGAACAAAACCCGGGACGUGUCCCGUCCUGCGUGUAUCCGACGAAAAAGCAUCGGCUAACUCCGUGCCAGCAGCCGCGGUAAUACGGAGGAUGCGAGCGUUAUCCGGAUUUAUUGGGUUUAAAGGGUGCGUAGGCGGGCCGUUAAGUCAGCGGUAAAAUGGCGGGGCUCAACCCCGUCGAGCCGUUGAAACUGGUAGACUUGAGUGGGCGAGAAGUAGGCGGAAUGCGUGGUGUAGCGGUGAAAUGCAUAGAUAUCGCGCAGAACUCCGAUUGCGAAGGCAGCGUACCGGCGCCAGACUGACGCUGAGGCACGAAAGCGUGGGGAUCGAACAGGAUUAGAUACCCUUGUAGUC
rnacentral:rRNA from 1 species